GUUGGUGACCGCGGAGGGAUCAUUA
rnacentral:rRNA from 1 species